ACAGACAUAUGUUCCUUCUCCCUGAGAAGUCAGAGUCCUUUGUAGUAUUAAUAAUAAUAAUAAUAUGAGUAAUCACAACAGAUAAAAGAAAUCAUCACCUGACCUAUGAAAGAGAGUACAUUUCAAGAGUUUUUAGGAGGCCUGCUUCAUGAAACAAGAAAUGGAUGAAACAUGGACAAGAUAGAAAUAGUCAAAA